UCCUCCGGCCUGUGUGCUGAGAGGGGGCUCCCCAAUAUGUUGGAUAAGUAAAAUCCUCAUGUGUUUUGCAAUGAUGACAGUCUCUGUGGUCUUUGUGUGAGUGAGGGUCUUUUAACAAGCUACAACACCUCCACCCUCUGUUCUGGCACUGGGAAGGACUGCUAAGGUCUUAGCUGUGUCUCUGCCUCCUUCCGCUGGGCAUUCGGUUGAACCCAGAACCUCUGGGGUCCACAGAGGACUGAAGUGUUUUAGAGAAAAGGAGAAAGAAGAGAUCCCGGAUGGGAUUAUGUGAAGAUGGAGUCACUGGGGGAAAACAGAACAAAACAACAGCAACAACAACAACAACACAACCAACCAAAGAACCAUCGGAUUUUGGGGAGCGCCCCUGCAGCUCAUCUUCACCUUUGAAAAAAUUUUUUUUCUUUUUCUCUUUUUCCUUUUAUUCUCUACUCCCUUAAGGAUAAAUGCUGCUCUGGGUGGCAGGGCACCAUGGUAUGUACCAACAUCCACUGCUCUAAGGCUGGCCCAAGUCAUCGUCCCAGAUUCCUCAAUUUGUCCAAGAGGUCACGGUUCAUCCAAGGCAGCCAGGGAUGGAACUCAAGCAGGCGCUCGAGUAGAAACCACGAACUGCAGCUUGCUGAUUUGUUUGCUGACUCACACUUGGCCCGCUCUCUUUACACAGCCCAGGAUCACCUGGCCAGGAAAUGCUGCUGCCCACAGAGUGCUGGGCCCUCAGGAGCCGGUGUGGCAGCAGUACCAAGAUGGUGCCCAGGACUGAAGCUAAGUCUUAUGACUUGUAUCUGACUUCUUCAUACACCUGAAAGUAAGCCACGACCAUCGUGUGAACUGCGCAGGUACACCAUGAUGCAAGAUCGGACCAUAUGACAAGUGAUGAUUCUGGCUGAUGGACUGCUGUUACAUGGACUGGGCUGAUGGGGCGUGGUUGAGGGGUUGUAUAAGGGAUUGCAAUUGGGGGCGGAGGGGAAGGAAAGAUUACUAGAGAGAUUGAUUUCUGGAGAAAGAUUCCUGCAUGCAUGUUGAAAGGUUCCUGAAUAAACUGCUUUGAGAAGAACGUAGUGUUGUCGUUCCUUUCUGCUGGUCAGAAUCAGAGGC